rnacentral:rRNA from 1 species
UGGGGAAUUUUGGACAAUGGGCGAAAGCCUGAUCCAGCAAUGCCGCGUGUGUGAAGAAGGCCUUCGGGUUGUAAAGCACUUUUGUCCGGAAAGAAAUCCUUGGCUCUAAUACAGUCGGGGGAUGACGGUACCGGAAGAAUAAGCACCGGCUAACUACGUGCCAGCAGCCGCGGUAAUACGUAGGGUGCAAGCGUUAAUCGGAAUUACUGGGCGUAAAGCGUGCGCAGGCGGUUUGCUAAGACCGAUGUGAAAUCCCCGGGCUCAACCUGGGAACUGCAUUGGUGACUGGCAGGCUAGAGUAUGGCAGAGGGGGGUAGAAUUCCACGUGUAGCAGUGAAAUGCGUAGAGAUGUGGAGGAAUACCGAUGGCGAAGGCAGCCCCCUGGGCCAAUACUGACGCUCAUGCACGAAAGCGUGGGGAGCAAACAGGAUUAGAUACCCUGGUAGUCCACGCCCUAAACGAUGUCAACUAGUUGUUGGGGAUUCAUUUCCUUAGUAACGUAGCUAACGCGUGAAGUUGACCGCCUGGGGAGUACGGUCGCAAGAUUAAAACUCAAUGAAUUGACGGGGUCAUA